UCCUAGUUUUUGUUGUUUUGUUUGUUCUUAACAUGGAGUAUUUAGAGUAAAUUUUUUUAACUUAGCUAUUACAACCUUGUCUUGUACAAUAACCAAAUUGGUCACUUGCCAUCCUUCCACAUUUUUUGGACCAGAACCAGCUUGUUAUUACUAUGACGUGUUGGCCUGUUAGGGGCAGUAUGGCGCAGGCAUGCGGAUAACACACCUCCACCUGAGUUUAUUGACGAGAAGAAGAAAGUCCCGGCCAAGACACCAACGAAGAAGAUAUUGCCAGCAACGGCGCGGGCCGAAGACAACAUGGCGGACUGAAUGAAAUACUCGAUGGAUGGCCAAUUGGAAAGAGAUAAACUCCAUUGAUUAACUUUAAAAAAAAAUCGGUAGUGCCGCUUCAUGGAAGACGAGAGUUGAUAUAUUGAGACCAUGAAAAAAAAUCACCAACAAGAAAACUACAAACUGGAGGUGGCAGGAAGCGGAACUACGCAUCCGGAAGUCAGCCUCUGGUGCCAUUUUCCUGUUUUCUCCUCCCGGAGCACCGCUUGAUCCCGGCCGGCCUUGUUGGAGCUCAUCCCGGAUGACUUCGGGCGUCAGGCGGACGACACCCAUAACUGUCGCGGGCAACAUAUAGAAACGAACGACAUCCACAUCGUCAGUGACAUCAGCGAGGUGAGAGGCUUCUCCUGAAAAUGGAGUCGUGAGGGGUCAAGGCUCAGAUAGUCGACUUGAACCCGUUGCCGUGGAGCGAAGCGGUUCCCCCGGGGGUUGUUUGGACACGUAUCGAAGGGCCUUGAUGACACGGCCGCCAUGCUUGGCUGCUUUUUUAACCACCGCCAGCUGCUGGGCGAUGCGCAUGGCUGAAGAGAAAUGGGAAACGUUUGGAUCGCAUCACUUUGAGGAAACUAAAAGAAGAUUCUCACACGGGGUAGGUGUCCAAUUAAGAAUCCAAGCGUGCUUGCGCGCUCAUUUGUUUAUUUGGCACACAGCUUUAAAGUUGACUGUAAAACUGAAUUCACCUUUUAUGGUUGUGACUCGCAUCAGGUGUGUGUCGGGUGACAUUCUAAACAGCCCUCAGAUGUGCACCGCUGAAUACCCGCGCCCAAUUGGCUGUCGGUGAUAAUAGUCCGCACCAUAUAUGGGGAUUUCCCCAAGGCGGACACUCUUAUGGGUGGGGAUUUGCACUUUGACACAGUAGUUGCGGCGAUAACUCGACAACUUCCUUAUGCAUUCCAUUCAACAGCUUCCGUAUACAGACGCAAAUGAGAGUACACUGGAAAAGUGGUUGCCCCCCCCCCCACCACCACCCCCCUCCAGAAAGAAUCAACAAUGCCAUUCAUAGCAUACA